AUACAGCUGGCUCCGUCUGUGUGGCCCUGGAAUUGCCUGAUAAAACAAACCAGAUUGAAUAAUGAUUUCCUGCCAGAGCUCAAGGGACCGGGCCCGGCUCAAUGACACUUCAUGGAUUUCUACAGCGGAGGUUUGAAGAGAGUGAGCUGUCAUGAUGACUUCUGGAGCCCGUCCCUUCUCUGUGCAGCAUGAGAGGGGACUUACCAAACAAGCCACAGACCCCAAACUGCACCAUCCGCAGGGACGGCUUCCCAGCAAAGAUGAAACAAGAGUAAAACAUGUACUCAUUUUACCUUUCAUGUUUCAUUCAUGCUUACUUUAAAAAGACUUUUUGAGAACA
rnacentral:lncRNA from 1 species